GAAAAUCAAGUAAUAUUUAUCAUUUGAUAAUUGAAGGAAUAACUCAUAUAUAAGAAUAUAAGAAAUUAGGGCUUGUACAUCUUACAUACACCAUAAUUUGCAACAAGACAUAAAUUCUCUUUUACAUAACCCAGUACCAUAAUUUGCAACAAGACAUUAAUUCUCUUUUACACAACCCAUUAAACAUAUAUGUAACAUUGUUGUAAUGAUUCAAAUUUAUAACCAGAUCAAUGAUGAAGUUAUGCUAAACCUUCAUCACUUCUGAACAUUUUCAACCCAUAUCCAAAAGGGAAUAAGGGAUCAUAGUUAGCAUCUCCAACAUUUAUAGGCAGUUGAUCAGAAGACCUAAACCACGAUACAGGCAAUGUACCCACGAAAUCAUGAUCUCCAAAGAGGCAAUCAGUAAUUCCCAUGCCCUCACUUCCAGGUAGCCAGGCAGCAACUAGAGCAUCUAUCUUCUCCAGAACUUGUGGUUCAAUGACCAAAGGCCUUCCAGAUACAACAACCACUAGAGUAGGGACUUUACUAGCAAC
rnacentral:lncRNA from 1 species